rnacentral:rRNA from 1 species
GGGGAAUCUUGGACAAUGGGCGCAAGCCUGAUCCAGCAAUGCCGCGUGGGUGAAGAAGGCCUUCGGGUUGUAAAGCCCUUUUGUACGGGAGCAAAUCUUUGCGGAUAAUACCUGCUGAGGAUGAGAGUACCGUAAGAAUAAGCACCGGCUAACUACGUGCCAGCAGCCGCGGUAAUACGUAGGGUGCAAGCGUUAAUCGGAAUUACUGGGCGUAAAGCGUGCGCAGGUGGUUUUGUAAGACAGAGGUGAAAUCCCCGAGCUCAACUUGGGAACUGCCUUUGUGACUGCAAGACUAGAGUGUGGCAGAGGGGGGUGGAAUUCCACGUGUAGCAGUGAAAUGCGUAGAGAUGUGGAGGAACACCGAUGGCGAAGGCAGCCCCCUGGGCUAACACUGACACUCAUGCACGAAAGCGUGGGGAGCAAAC